ensembl:lncRNA
GUUCUCAAGGACCAGGAUUGGGAACCACUGAGCUAGCUUGUAAUCAGUUUUGUUUAACAGGCAACACAUGCAAUUAAUUGUGCAACAUGGUUCAGUUUUGACUUCACCGGCAUUCAUGUAUCAUUUGAUUUCAUACAGGACCUUAGACCCGUUUCUUGGAAUUGGUUUGGCUUUAUCCUGACAUUGUUUUGAAAUACCUUUUAAUGAAGCAUAUCCAAUUGUAGUGUUGGCAGCGUCUUGCUCUGUUUGGAUAAUAUCUCCUCUCAAAGUUUGGAAGCAGAGGCCCUGGUACAGUUAAAAGGAAUCUCAAUCUUUUGAACCCUAGUUUAGUGUACUCAUAUAGGAAUUGAGAGGCUUUAUGUGGUGGCCUAUGGUAAUGUUUCACAGCUGUGUGUCAUUUUUGAAGAUCCAGAACACAACACUCAGUCAUGGUAGGGGGCACUUAAUUGUUCUUUGUUUCAACUUAAAAUGCUUAGAUUAUCAAUUCGGUCAAUAUGUUUCUAAUGGAUGUUUCGGUGUCUGUGAAAAUGUAUGCAUGCUACAAUCUGUGGAGAAUGACUAAGCACAGAGAAGAUGGAAACCCACUGGGUUCUGCCUCAGCAUGGAUCCCUUCAAGGAUGCAAUGGCUUACCACCACCAAAGUAGUUCUAAAUAAAUGUGUUUACUAUUCAAGGGGCUUGUGGUUUUUGAUUGGUUAUCAAAAAGUAAAAUUGAACUAUUCUAAACAUGUUUAACAUGAAUGAGUUUAUUAUUCUGUCAAUAUCUCAAUGUUUUACAACUUUUUUUCUUUUACAACAAAUUGAUUUCUGCACUUAGUUAUAUGAAGUAGCAAUGUGUGAACAUAAAUGUGUGUGCUUGUGUGUAAAUAUCUCUUCCCAGUGAGUGGCUGUUAAACGCUGAGCUCACAGGGAUUACAUGGUGACUGUGAACACUGCUCUGGCAGGAAGUUCCCACUGCUUUCAGUAUCAGGGCGGAAAAUGCAUGUUUGUCAGAGAUCCUAAACCUGGCAUUGAUUUCCGUGCCAUGUCAUUCUUCAGCCCUGGCUCCAGCUCAGCCAUUUUAUCUAUAUCCUCUCUUCGCAAUCUAUAAUCACACAGAUUAGGAGACAAGCAAUUGCCAAAGGAGUCUGAUUUGUUAUAUG